GACGAACGCUGGCGGCGUGCUUAAUACAUGCAAGUCGAACGGACCGAUUCCGGUAGUUUACUCUUGGGAAAGGUUAGUGGCGGACGGGUGAGUAACGCGUGGGCAAUCUGCCCCUAAGUCCGGGAUAACAGAGCGAAAGUUCUGCUAAGACCGGAUACUCUUUACUAGCCGCAUGGUGGGUAAAGGAAAGCGAACGCGUAGGGAGGAGCGCGCGUCCCAUUAGCUAGUUGGUGAGGUAACGCCCACCCAGGGCAACGAUAGGUACCCGGCCUGAGAGAGUGGGCGCACACUCCGGGGCUGAGACGCGGUGGAGACUCUUACGCGAGGCAGCAGAAGGUGAUUCUGGGCAACGGGCGAAAGGCUGAACGAGCAACGGUGCGAGAGGGAUGAAGGUGGGCGGGUAGUAAACCUUGUUCAUCGAGGACGGUAAUGACGGUACCCGAGGAAGAAGCCCCGGCUAACUACGUG
rnacentral:rRNA from 1 species